AUGCCUUAAACUUACAAGUAAGGAAAAUAAUGAUUCAGGGUGACCCCUAAAUCCUCACUGCUGAUGGGAGACAAAUUUUUGAACGGGUAAAGGUCAUCCCUAAGGUGACCUACUGAUUUGCAGGACGUCUGGGAGUCACAUUCUGCCUG